CAGUAGCCACGGUAAUACGAAGGGGGCUAGCGUUGUUCGGAAUUACUGGGCGUAAAGCGCACGUAGGCGGAUAUUUAAGUCAGGGGUGAAAUCCCGCAGCUCAACUGCGGAACUGCCUUUGAUACUGGGUAUCUUGAGUAUGGAAGAGGUUAGUGGAAUUGCGAGUGUAGAGGUGAAAUUCGUAGAUAUCCGCAGGAACACCAGUGGCGAAGGCGGCUAACUGGUCCAUAACUGACGCUGAGGUGCGAAAGCGUGGGGAGCAAACAGGAUUAGAUACCCCAGUAGUCCCUGUCUAUUAUAC
rnacentral:rRNA from 1 species